CUCACCGUCGCAUGCGGUCCCCCUGUGCACCACCCGUCGUGCCACCAUGCCAACGACGAGUCCUUCUUCGCUCCCCGACAACGGACUUCACCUCGCCGUCAGAGAGAGUGUUGUGUGUCCGCCAUGAAUGUGCGAUAAGUUCAUUAUAUGAUGAAAAAAUUGGAAUGCUUUGCUAUAUCAGAAGCGAAAGGCUUUUGAGAAUGAGAAAGUAAGAGCGACGACAUGCUUGUGGUUGUGGCAUUCAAGAAAUUUCUUGUGAAGAUUGGAGGCAAGUUUGAGAGAGAGUAGUGCCCUGCAUUUUUUUUUUUUGGUUUAAGGAGUUGAAAGAGCACUGUGUUUUUCUUGAUUUCCCGAUCCCGCCGUCUCACAAUUCCAUCGACCUCUCGUGAUCCUUUGAGGAAGCUGGGCAACGUUAUGCGCUGGUGGGGCAGAGACGUUUGGCCGCCGUGGAGAGAUGCGCGGUGGGGAGGAGAUUGUGUCGUCUUGGGCGACAAGCUAUAUCGCGUGGCCGUGGGGGAGAGCUGGCUCGUGUCGCCAUCAAAGGAGGAGUACGAAGAAUUGCCGGAGGUGGUGGAGGAGUUUGCCGGCAUUUGGUCAUAGACGCAGUUGGCUUAAAGAAGAAACGAUUUUUUUUUUUUUUUUUUAGGGUUUUCGUUUUUGUUUUAGCUAAUCAGGUGUAAUCUAAAUCAUUAUUAUCUGGUGUAUCUCUUUUAAACUGAACCGUUAAACGCAAAUCAAUUUGGCUAAUCAAUUUGGUACUCUACAAGUGGGAAAAAGCAAGGACCCUUGCCAUAGACUUUCUCUAAAUUCACUCUUAACAUUUCUCUCUUCUCAUCGCCGCCGCACUCUCUUUCUCCUCCCCUCUCUCGGACCAUUCUUUCCGCCGUCGUCGUGGCUAGAAAAGCCGUCGCCAUUGCGUGGGAAGCCCGUUUUCAUGCCGUCAUCGUUCUCGUUCGCAUGGGAUCUCACGAACGACGAGCUUUCUCUCCUCUCUCUCUAUCCGCCUCCGCCUCGGCCUCCGUCGGAGUCUCUCUCACAAUUCCGGAGACGCUCAGAUCCUCCCUUUUAGAUCUCCACUGUUCGCUGCGAAGCUUCAGAGACGAGAUCGGUGUUGGAUCUCGCAGCUCGCCGGAGACGUAGCACGUGACCAGAUCCUGUUUCUCCGACGCCUGAUGUCUCCGGAUCUCCGGUGUUCUCCUUGGAUCUCCGAUCUCAGUUGAUUUUCUCCUUAGAUCUCCGAUCUCCAACGUCCUUCUCUCUUUGCAUUUGACUCUCUCUUCUCACCGUGAAGACGUCGUGCCCUAGUGAUCGCUUGGAAUCGAUGAUGCAGAUUCGACUUCCGGUUCUCCACAGCACCAACGUCGUGACGUCCCGGAGUUGGGCGAGGUACUGGGAUCCACAUUUACUACAGGAGACGAUGACAAGAUAAACUUUAUUGAAUCUACUUUCUCAUUUGUAUUUGGGGAUGGUGAUCCAAAUCAAGGAAUUGAAGAAGAGAGAUGAAAGUUGAUAAUACUUGAGCACUAAGUUCAGUGAUUGGAAACAAGGGAAUUGUGGCUAUGAGAGAGAAUGGACCAACAUUCGGGAAAGACGAUUGGGAUGGGAACUGAGCAAGCUGGACUCUACUACUUGGAUGCUUCGAAGUAUGUUGGGUGUCGUGUCUCCCCUGCCACUGUCACUUCCACCACUCCUCAUCUUUGGCAUCAACGCCUUGGUCACCCUUCCAAUAAAACCCUGCAAGGCAUUUCUUUGUUUUCAGACUCUGUUAAAGCUCAUUUUAUUAAUGAUUGUUCUAUUUGUCCACUUGCUAAACAAGCAAGACUACCUUUUCCUUCCGGUUCUAUUAAGAAAAAAUCUUGUUUUGAGCUAAUUCAUGUUGAUAUUUGGAGUGGUUAUCAUGUUCCAACUUUACAAGGGGCAAAAUAUUUUCUCACUAGCGUAGAUGAUUUUUCUCGAUGUACAUGGGUUUAUCUCUUGCUUA